GAUGAAGAACGUAGCGAAAUGCGAUAAGUAAUGUGAAUUGCAGAAUUCAGUGAAUCAUCGAAUCUUUGAACGCACAUUGCGCCCCCUGGUAUUCCGGGGGGCAUGCCUGUUCGAGCGUCAUUUCACCACUCAAGCCUCGCUUGGUAUUGGGCAACGCGGUCCGCCGCGUGCCUCAAAUCGACCGGCUGGGUCUUCUGUCCCCUAAGCGUUGUGGAAACUAUUCGCUAAAGGGUGCUCGGGAGGCUACGCCGUAAAACAAACCCAUUUCUAAGGUUGACCUCGGAUCAGGUAGGGAUACCCGCUGAACUUAAGCAUAUCAAUAAGCAGAGGA
rnacentral:misc_RNA from 1 species